GUGGCAGCCGCCGCGGUAAAACCAGCACCUCAAGUGGUCAGGAUGAUUAUUGGGCCUAAAGCAUCCGUAGCCGGCUCUGUAAGUUUUCGGUUAAAUCUGUACGCUCAACGUACAGGCUGCCGGGAAUACUGCAGAGCUAGGGAGUGGGAGAGGUAGACGGUACUCGGGAGGAAGUGGUAAAAUGCUUUGAUCUCUCGAUGACCACCUGUGGCGAAGGCGGUCUACCAGAACACGUCCGACGGUGAGGGAUGAAAGCUGGGGGAGCAAACCGGAUUAGAUACCCGGGUAGUCCCAGCUGUAAACUAUGCAAACUAAGUGAUGCAUUGGCUUGUGGCCAAUGCAGUAUUUCAGGGAAGCCGUUAAGUUUGCCGCCUGGGAAGUACGUACGCAAGUAUGAAACUUAAAGGAAUUGGCGGGGGAGCACCACAAGGGGUGAAGCCUGCGGUUCAAUUGGAGUCAACGCCAGAAAUCUUACCCGGAGAGACAGCAGAAUGAAGGUCAAGCUGAAGACUUUACCAGACAAGCUGAGAGGUGGUGCAUGGCCGUCGCCAGCUCGUGCCGUGAGAUGUCCUGUUAAGUCAGGUAACGAGCGAGAUCCCUGCCUCUAGUUGCCACCAUUACUCUCAGGAGUAGUGGGGCGAAUUAGCGGGACCGCCGUAGUUAAUGCGGAGGAAGGAAGGGGCCACGGCAGGUCAGUAUGCCCCGAAACUCUGGGGCCACACGCGGGCUGCAAUGGUAAUGACAAUGGGUUCCAAAUCCGAAAGGAGGAGGUAAUCCCCAAACAUUACCACAGUUAUGACUGAGGGCUGCAACUCGCCCUCACGAAUAUGGAAUCCCUAGUAACUGCGUGUCAUUAUCGCGCGGUGAAUACGUCCCUGCUCCUUGUACACACCGCCCGUC
rnacentral:rRNA from 1 species